UACGGGGGGAGCAAGCGUUGUUCGGAUUUACUGGGCGUAAAGGGCGCGUAGGCGGCGUGACAAGUCACUUGUGAAAUCUCCGGGCUUAACUCGGAACGGUCAAGUGAUACUGUCGUGCUAGAGUACAGAAGGGGCAACUGGAAUUCUCGGUGUAGCGGUGAAAUGCGUAGAUAUCGAGAGGAACACCUGCGGCGAAGGCGGUUGCUGGCUGAUACUGACGCUGAGGCGCGAAAGCUAGGGGAGCGAACGGG
rnacentral:rRNA from 1 species